GUGAGAUAAGGCACGAGUUCGUUGUAGGCUCUGUGAAGUUAGCUUUAAGUUUGCUGUGUACGGGGCGGCCCAAGUGCACGCACGUUCUCGUGGCAAAACAAGAAACCGAACGCAACAACGUGCAUUUAGCAAACGACGACGAGGUUCGCUUUGAUGGCCGAUCUACUACACCAACCGAGAUUGCUUUCGAAUUGCAAAGCAAUGUUGGGACGACACGCUCACUGACAACCCUAAGACUCUCUCGAUAUUAACCACAUUGCACGGUUAUGUAUUCUCGAUGAGUCGGAAGGAGGGCAGGUUUCUACUGAUGAUGAUAGUAGCUGUUCCAUCUUGGAAGCAUCAUCUGGCAAGAGGACCGAUUCCGUCCUCUAACUUUAGAGAAUCGACACGAAAAGUAGAUGGCUUGUUUAGCCUCGCCACGCGAUGUACAUCCUUUGUGUCCCUCGAACACAAGAGAUGUGGAUGUACAGCCCUGAACACCGGAAGUUCUCUCUCUCUCUCUCUCUCUCUCUCUCUCUCCCUCCCUCUCUCUUUUUUCCCCUCUUUCUACUGCCCUUCUUUGCCGAUCCAACGAGUUACCUUCGACUUAAUCGACGAUGUCGAUUUUUUUUUAAUCCUCCUUUUAUAUUAACGAUAGUAGAAAAUACGUAUAGAGAAAUUCUAUGAUUUUACUUAAUUCAUGUUUUGCAUAGCAUAUGCGAAUAAGUAUAUAAAUACUUUACAUUAAAAUUUCUA